rnacentral:rRNA from 1 species
UACGGGGGGGGUAAGCGUUGUUCGGAAUUACUGGGCGUAAAGGGCUCGUAGGCGGCCAACUAAGUCAGACGUGAAAUCCCUCAGCUUAACUGGGGAACUGCGUCUGAUACUGGAUGGCUUGGAUUCGGGAGAGGAAUGCGGAAUUCCAGGUGUAGCGGUGAAAUGCGUAGAUAUCAGGAAGAACACCAAUGGCGAAGGCAGCUCUCUGGGACGGUACUGACGCUGAGACGCGAAAGCGUGGGGAGCGAACAGG